GCAUUAUAAUUUUAUUGUGCAUUAAUUCGCAGUUAACUAAUAAAACAUUUCUGUUAGUCAGUAACUUUUUCAUUCUAAAGUAAUUUUAUUUAAAAUCAAAAUUUGUUUGCAUGUUUAUCGCUGUCGAAACAGUUAUUACUAUCCUUAAAGCUGACUUGAAGUCAGUCGUAAUUUUCUGCUGAUACCUAUUUCAUGGCAGACUCACUUUUUAGUGAGUCUGCUAUGAAAUAGCCUUUUAAGCUCACACAACCUCAUUUAUUAAAUAUUCCAUAGUCAACUGCUGAUAUUCACAGAGCCCACUUGUACAGCAGAAACAACAGAAAUCCAACCUUUUAUACAAAAGUAUUUGUUAACCAGAUGAAGCUGACAGCAAUUUGAAGGCCCUCAAGAAAUGUAGCAUCGAAAGACUUCAUAAAGGUGGAUGGUCAUUUUGCAUGUGGAUUGCCAGAGUGAUACUGAUGUACACUAUUGAUAGCAUUGGAUUCCAGAGAGCAUGCACGCGUGGCAUGCAGACUAUAGUAGACAUCCACUGAUAACAAUGAGAGAAGACGUAAAGGUCCGACUUGUCCCAGCCAUCUCAUUUACCAUUAUUGCGGACAUUCCAGUAAGCAGUAAUGCCCUCUCUGUAUCAUCCGGUAAAUACCAGUACCACUAGCAGAAGACUGCAUGUCAAUGGAUUACAAGAAUGCACGGCAUUGUAACGGUUGCCCCUCACAUAGCAGCAUUAGCGUUAUAGACUUCAAUGACACUAUGCCAGAGCAUAAUCGAGAUAUGCUGAAUGGUAGCAAGCAAUCUCUAAUAAGGAGUUUCACUUUUGGUUUGAGGCGAAGAACCAAUAUAAAUCUCAAAACGAAGGGUCAUGUCCAGGCUAUAGAUUAUAAGUUCUUUAUAGAUUUUUGGGUAUGGCAUAAGAUUUCAUGUGAUGUCCGAUUAUUAAUGGUCUUCAUCACGGGCACGUAGGCAUCCUAAUUGGUAUAAUGAUGAAGUCCUUUGAGCAGUUGCCUUGGAAUAUUUGAACUCUCCCUCAAGUGUUCCAAUCCAAAAGGGCAACGCGAAUCUUCGUACAGUUGGCAUUUCAAGAGCUUGACUUGUAGCAAUAAACUUUCAGCCGUGGUCAACCCAAUUGCAGGCCUAUACCUAACAGAAGAUAUCUGGUCUAUUUGUCAAGACUGCUUUGUUGUCAUAAAAUCGGCAGGAACAACUGUCUGCGAAGGAUAGGCUAAUGUUAAAGGACCCCUACAGUUUCACCCAAGAAGUAUGGCAGCAUGCAUUGGCGGCUCGGCAUCCUGUUGAGAGUUAUAAAGGCUCUGUAAGUUUUGCAAUAAAUAUUUGCUAUACCACUCUUA